rnacentral:rRNA from 1 species
CCUACGGGUGGCAGCAGUGGGGAAUAUUGCACAAUGGGGGAAACCCUGAUGCAGCCACGCCGCGUGAGUGAAGAAGUAUUUCGGUUUGUAAAGCACUAUCAGCAGGGAGGAAAAUGACGGUACCUGAUUAAGAAGCGCCGGCUAACUACGUGCCAGCAGCCGCGGUAAUACGUAGGGGGCAAGCGUUAUCCGGUUUUACUGGGUGUAAAGGGAGCGUAGACGGCAGCACAAGUCUGGUGUGAAAUGACGGGGCUUAACCCCGGAACUGCUUUGGAAACUGUGCAGCUAGAGUGCAGGAGAGGUAAGUAGAAUUCCUGGUGUAGCGGUGAAAUGCGUAGAGAUUAGGAGGAAUACCAGUGGCGAAGGCGGCUUACUGGACUAUAACUGACGUUGAGGCGCGAAAGCGUGGGGAGCAAACAGGAUGAGAUACCCUUGUAGUC